CUACGGGGGGCAGCAGUGAGGAAUAUUGCACAAUGGGGGGAACCCUGAUGCAGCAACGCCGCGUGGAGGAUGACGCAUUUCGGUGUGUAAACUCCUUUUAUAUGUCAAGAAAAUGACGGUAGCAUAUGAAUAAGCACCGGCUAACUCCGUGCCAGCAGCCGCGGUAAUACGGAGGGUGCAAGCGUUACUCGGAAUCGCUGGGCGUAAAGGACGCGUAGGCGGGUUGGAAAGUCAGGUGUGAAAUCCUACAGCUUAACUGUAGAACUGCACUUGAAACUUCUAAUCUAGAGUAUGGGAGGGGGAGAUGGAAUUAGUGGUGUAGGGGUAACAUCCGUAGAUAUCACUAGGAAUACCUAAAGCGAAGGCGAUCUCCUGGAACAUUACUGACGCUAAGGCGUGAAAGCGUGGGGAGCAAACAGGAUUAGAUACCCUAGUAGUC
rnacentral:rRNA from 1 species